AACGAGGUACAGUUCUGUUUAUGUGUGGCAUUAUCAGUAAAGAAGUUCUGAGUAAACACGUUGUCGUUGAAUACUGCUUCUCUGCCGAACCUUAUUUAGUGCCUCAUGCAGUAAUGUCUCAGUUUCAUCUCGGUCAAUGCCUGCGGGCUAAGAAAACACUCUAAGGAAUUUUGCAAAUGGCAAAGAUUAAAGGUCAAGUUAAGUGGUUCAACGAGUCUAAAGGCUUUGGUUUCAUUACUCCUGCUGACGGCAGCAAAGACGUGUUCGUGCACUUCUCUGCAAUCCAGGGUAACGGCUUCAAGACUCUGGCUGAAGGCCAGAACGUUGAGUUCGAAAUUCAGGACGGCCAGAAAGGCCCAGCAGCGGUUAACGUUACUGCUAUCUGAUUUUCCUCCACUGCUUGAGCGCGAUUAGCGCAUCAAUGUCAGCGUAAAAGCCUCGCCGCGUGCGGGGCUUUUUAAU
rnacentral:sRNA from 1 species